rnacentral:rRNA from 1 species
AUUGAACGCUGGCGGCAUGCCUUACACAUGCAAGUCGAACGGCAGCACGGGGGCAACUCUGGUGGCGAGUGGCGAACGGGUGAGUAAUACAUCGGAACGUGUCCUUUCGUGGGGGAUAACCAGUCGAAAGACUGGCUAAUACCGCAUGAGAUCGUAAGAUGAAAGCGAGGGACCGCAAGGCCUCGCGCGAUUGGAGCGGCCGAUGUCGGAUUAGCUAGUUGGCGGGGUAAAAGCCCACCAAGGCGACGAUCCGUAGCUGGUUUGAGAGAACGAGCAGCCACACUUGGACUGAGACACGGCCCAGACUCCUACGGGCGGCACCAGUGGGGAAUUUUGGACAAUGGGCGCAAGCAUGAUCCAGCCAUGCCGCGUGUGUGAAGAAGGCCUUCGGGUUGUAAAGCACUUUCGGCCGGAACGAAAUCGCCUUCGUUAAUAGCGGAGGUGGAUGACGGUACCGGAAGAAGAAGCACCGGCUAACUACGUGCCAGCCGCCGCAGUAAAAC